rnacentral:rRNA from 1 species
GGGCAACACACGUGCUACAAUGGGAAGUACAACGAGUCGCAAACCGGCGACGGUAAGCUAAUCUCUUAAAACUUCUCUCAGUUCGGACUGGAGUCUGCAACUCGACUCCACGAAGGCGGAAUCGCUAGUAAUCGCGAAUCAGCAUGUCGCGGUGAAUACGUUCCCGGGUCUUGUACACACCGCCCGUCAAAUCAUGGGAGUCGGAAGUACCCAAAGUCGCUUGGCUAACUUUUAGAGGCCGGUGCCUAAGGUAAAAUCGAUGACUGGGAUUAAGUCGUAACAAGGUAGCCGUAGGAGAACCUGCGGCUGGAUCACCUCCUUUCUAAGGA